UGUAUUUAAGUGUCUCUCUGUCUUGCUAAUGGAUUGAGCCUUAUGUAAACUGGCUGAUGGAUCUAGUAUUGCACUUUAUUGUAUUUGCUGACUGCCCAUUGUUGCAUUACAUCUGGGUAUCUACUCCCCUUAGCUGGAAACUAAAGCUCAAAUGCUCUUUCCUGCUAAUGGUUAAUAUGCUAAGCACAAUCAUUGGCCAUUACUUCUCUGGGUCUAAACUUGUCUAAAGGUUGUUACAUGCUAAUGCUAAUUUAUCUCUGAAGGUACGAACUUAUCACCUUCUUCUAUAAUGUGAGUUGGUCUCAGAGCAAUCCUAACUUGGAUUGAAUAAGCAUGGUAUUAUCUACUUUUGAGAUGUACACUGUGAAUCCCUUAAGGACCAAGGCUUUUCUGAAAUGAAACCUGUUUGUGGACAUGCCGUUUUGGUCAUUUUGCCAUGGCUUUAUUCCACCACAAUUUCCUCCAUUCUGUUUAGGUGCACCCCAUACAGAUUUUAUAUUUGUUAAAGGAGAAAUGAGGCUUUCUUUUGAUAUCCU